UACGUAGGGUGCAAGCGUUAAUCGGAAUUACUGGGCGUAAAGCGUGCGCAGGCGGUGAUGUAAGACAGGUGUGAAAUCCCCGGGCUUAACCUGGGAACUGCAUUUGUGACUGCAUCGCUGGAGUGCGGCAGAGGGGGGAUGGAAUUCCGCGUGUAGCAGUGAAAUGCGUAGAUAUGCGGAGGAACACCGAUGGCGAAGGCAAUCCCCUGGGCCUGCACUGACGCUCAUGCACGAAGCGUGGGAG
rnacentral:rRNA from 1 species